GCCUCAAGGAGCUGGGACUCACACCACCCCUGGAGGAAAUGCCCGCAGGCAAGGGCUGCCUGGGGACACGGGAAGUCCUGUCCUGCAACUUGUUCAAAUCAGGAUCCAAACAAAAGUCCAUGUUCUGCCUUCGGUUGAUAAGUGUUGGAACAUUACGGACGCCGGGCCUGUGUCGUGUUUCGGCUGUGUGCCUCCCUGGAGCCGCGGACCCAUGGUGGCAGGGACAGGCUGGAGAAGAGGGUUCUCUGGGCAGCCAGCGUUUACUCGGAUGCUUCGAGAAUUAGCGGGGUGGGGAAACUGAGGCUGAACAGCUCGUCCAACGUCCCAGUGCUGGUAGAUGGAAAAGGCAGGGUUUGAGGACGGCCGGCUGGCUCCCCGGUCUGUGGCACACCGCCGGCCCUCUGGAGCCAGACUGUGGUGGGUUGCGAUCCCAGCUGCGUCACUCACCAGCUGUGUGACCUUGACCCUGUGGCUCAGCCUCUCUGGGCUUCAGUGCUGUGUGUAUACAACUGCGAUGAUACUGGCUCCAUCUCCUGAAAGUCCUGAGAAUUGUCCGACGAGUCAUUUAUGAAGCUCGAAUGGCCACACUAAUAAAGUUGGCUCUUGUCUCUGCUUGAAA